CAAAUCAGGUGGGACUACCCGCUGAACUUAAGCAUAUCAAUAAGCGGAGGAAAAGAAAAUAACUAUGAUUCCCUUAGUAACGGCGAGUGAACAGGGAAAAGC
rnacentral:rRNA from 1 species